UGGCGGUGUUGGCAGUGGUGUCGACCGGUGCUGCGGCCACCGGAGCAACCGGCGCGGUCGCUUCCUGCGCGGUCACC
rnacentral:tRNA from 1 species